rnacentral:rRNA from 1 species
UAUCAAUAAGCGGAGGAAAAGAAACUAACAAGGAUUCCCCUAGUAACGGCGAGUGAAGCGGGAAGAGCUCAAAUUUAAAAUCUGGCGGUGUAUUCCGUCCGAGUUGUAGUCUAGAGAAGCAUCAUCCGCGCCGGACCAUGUACAAGUCUCUUGGAACAGAGCGUCAUAGAGGGUGAGAAUCCCGUCCUUGACAUGGACUCCCGGUGCUUUGCGUUGUGCUCUCGACGAGUCGAGUUGUUUGGGAAUGCAGCUCAAAAUGGGUGGUAAAUUCCAUCUAAAGCUAAAUAUUGGCGAGAGACCGAUAGCGAACAAGUACCGUGAGGGAAAGAUGAAAAGCACUUUGGAGAGAGAGUUAAACAGUACGUGAAAUUGUUGAAAUGGAAACGAUUGAAGUCAGUCGCGUUCUCUGGGAUUCAGCCUUGCUUCUGCUUGGUGCAUUUCCUAGUCUACGGGCCAGCAUGGAUUUCGACCGUUGGAAAAAGGCUGGGGGAAUGUGGCACCUUCGGGUGUGUUAUAGCCCCUUGUCACAUGCAUCGGUUGGGAUCGAGG